GAUGAAGAACGAGCAAAAUGCGAUAAGUAAUGUGAAUUGCAGAAUUCAGUGAAUCAUCGAAUCUUUGAACGCACAUUGCGCCCGCCAGUAUUCUGGCGGGCAUGCCUGUUCGAGCGUCAUUUCAACCCUCAAGCACAGCUUGGUGUUGGGACUCGCGUUAAUUCGCGUUCCCCAAAUUGAUUGGCGGUCACGUCGAGCUUCCAUAGCGUAGUAGUAAAACCCUCGUUACUGGUAAUCGUCGCGGCCACGCCGUUAAACCCCAACUUCUGAAUGUUGACCUCGGAUCAGGUAGGAAUACCCGCUGAACUUAAGCAUAUCAAUAAGGGAGGA
rnacentral:misc_RNA from 1 species